GAUGAAGAACGCAGCGAAAUGCGAUAAGUAAUGUGAAUUGCAGAAUUCAGUGAAUCAUCGAAUCUUUGAACGCACAUUGCGCCCUCUGGUAUUCCGGGGGGCAUGCCUGUUCGAGCGUCAUUUCAACCCUCAAGCUCUGCUUGGUAUUGGGCCCCGCCGGCACCCGGCGCGCCCUAAAGUCAGUGGCGGUGCCGUCCGGCUCCGAGCGUAGUAAUUCUUCUCGCUCUGGAGGUCCGGUCGUGUGCUCGCCAGCAACCCCCAAUUUUUUUCAGGUUGACCUCGGAUCAGGUAGGGAUACCCGCUGAACUUAAGCAUAUCAAUAAGCGGAGGA
rnacentral:misc_RNA from 1 species